AAUGAACGCUGGCGGCGCGCCUAAUACAUGCAAGUCGAGCGAGAAGACGUAGCAAUACGUUUGUAAAGCGGCGAACGGGUGAGGAAUACAUGGGUAACCUACCCUCGAGUGGGGAAUAACUAGCCGAAAGGUUAGCUAAUACCGCGUACGCUUCUUGGACUUCGGUUCAGGGAGGAAAGCGAUGCCGAGGGUAUCGCGCUCUUGGAUGGGCUCAUGUCCUAUCAGCUUGUUGGGAGGUAACGGCUCACCAAGGCUUCGACGGGUAGCUGGUCUGAGAGGACGAUCAGCCACACUGGCACUACGACACGGGCCAGACUCCUACGGAGGCAGCAGUAAGGAAUAUUGCGCAAUGGGCGAAAGCCUGACGCAGCGACGCCGCGUGGGGGAUGAAGGUCUUCGGAUUGUAAA
rnacentral:rRNA from 1 species